GGGGAUUUAGCUCAGUGGUAGAGCGUUUGCCUAGUAAUCACAAGGCCCUGGGUUCGGUCCCCAGCUCA
rnacentral:tRNA from 1 species